AAAUUAACAUUAUAGCAAAAUAAUGCGUUAAACUUAGAAUUUAAUUAUCCUUAAA
rnacentral:tRNA from 1 species